AAGACUGGGAUAGUCAUUGGAAACGAUGGGUAAUACCAGAUGAGGCGUUCUCUUCAUCUUGAGAAGAUCAAACGGUUUUUCGCUUUAGGAGCGGCUUAUGGCCUAUCAGGUAUGGUGGGGUAAUGGCCUACCAAGCCGACGACGGGUAGCGGGUCUGAGAGGAUGAUCCGCGAGUGGGACUGAGACACGGCCCACACACCUACGGGUGGCAGCAGUUGGGAAUCUUGCAAUGGGGGAAACCCUGAUGCAGCGACGCCGCGUGGAGGAUGACGGGUCUAGGCCUGUACUCCUUUUGAUGGGAAAGACUUAGGACGGUACCCAUUGAAUAAGGACCGGCUAACUACGCCAGCAGCCGCGGUAAGACGUAGGGUCCAAGCGUUGUCCGGAUUUACUGGGCGUAAAGCGCGUAGGCGGUCUGUUAAGUGUGAAGUGAAAUCUCCAGGGCUCAACCCGAAAACUGUCGCAUACUGGCAGACUUGAGGGAUGCGGAGGUUUGUGGAAUUCCUGGUGUAGCGGUGAUGCGUAGAUAUCAGGAGGAACACCCAUGGCGAAGGCAGCAAACUGGGCAUCAUCUGACUGAGGCGCGAAAGCGUGGGUAGCAAACAGGAUUAGAUACCCUGGUAGUCCACGCCCUACGAUGGAUACUAGACGUAAGAGGUAUCGACCCCUCUUGUGUCGCAGCUAACGCAUUA
rnacentral:rRNA from 1 species